rnacentral:lncRNA from 1 species
CUACCAUUGAUUAGAAAUCCCACAAAGAUUGCAUCGUUAAAGUUGUGUCUUCUUGGUGACCCCGAUCAAAAUUUGAAAAUGAUGGUUAUAGCUGACUCGCAAUCGACUUGCUGAUACCAGGUAAACUCUUAAUAGUAGAAAUUAUUUCAAUCUUAAUAUCUAUACUUCAUUGGACUGAAUUCCACAGUUGGAAUUAAUACCACCAAUAAAAGUUUAGAUAUUGCCAUAAAAAAUAAAUUCCACAUUGUUUCAAUCAGUGAUAUAAGUAAUCUGAAUCAAGCUAAGCUUAUAGAUAAUUAACUAUUUUGAAAAUUUAAAGUCCUGAUUUAGUACCAUAUGAACACCUCAAAGCUCUCACCAGGUGCAAGUACUGUCAACCAACCGUAAUUGCUUCAGACUUAAACCAUUCCCAAUAAUUUUAACAUCUAUAGCUUCACUUAUGAUUCAGAUAGUAACAUUGUAAGAAUAGUCCUAAAAGAAUAGUCUCCUAUUGAGCAGAACUGCUGAUAUAUUUUGUCCUAAUGUAAGGAGUGUUUCCUUUGUCCAUCAUGAUAAUUUCCUGCCUUCACUAGGAACAUCUUGAUCUGAAUUAAAUUCAUAUGUACCUGCAAAAUUGAAAACCAAGUUAGCAAAAAAAAUCAGCAAAAGUAUUUCCCUCCCUUAAGGAGUGUUGUACUCUUAUUCUGUGAAUUGAGCCAACCUCAAUACUCACACUCCAAGGAAUUUUCCAGUUUCCAUUAAUGAUGUUAACCAUUGCCAAAGAAUCAGUCUCAAUAAUAAUGUUAGAAUAAUGAUUCUCUAAACAAUAUUGUAAACCUUCACUUAUAGCCUUAGCUUCAGCCACUAAAGUUGUGGAAUCAAUAAUUUUCAUCUCCUUAUCCCCAAAAACCUGCCUUCAUGAUUUCUUAAGCAAAAAGCAGAAGCACUGAGACCUGGGUUUCCUCUAGAGUCCCCAUCAGUGUUACAUUUCAGCCAACCUAUAGGAGGAGGAAUCCAUUUAACAAUUUUAGAAUGAACCACAGGUCUGAACCUUUCCAGAAGAGCUACCAUAUAAGGCCAAGUAUUAGGGAUAUGAUCAUAGUGAAAAUGAGACCUAAUAAACUUGUGGAUAGUAGCAUUGAUAUCCCAAAUCACCUUGUUUCUAAUAUAGACCCCUCCAUGUAAGAUAGUAUUCCUCCUCUUCCAUAGAAACCACAGAAUAAUGUUAGGAACUGCUUGAAAAACCAUUCUCAGCCUAGUAUUACCUUGUGCCACCCACCACUUUUUCAUGGUAUAUUUAAUUUGAACCCAAGGACCUAGUAUACCAGCAGCCCUUACAUAAUGAUCCCAAAUAGAAGUUGCCACUUCACCUGAAAGAAAAAAAUGUUCAAUAGUUUCUCUUACAGGAACCCUGCAACACUAACAUAAGGGAGAAAUGUUAGGAUUCCAUGAAGAAAUGAUAUCAGCAACGGGAGCAACGGGAACUCUGUAAGUCCAUACCCUCCAACCAAAGAAAGAAAAUUUUGAAAGGUAGCCCCUUCACCCAAAUUCUCUUAAUGUCUUCAUAAACUUCAUCCCUACUUCUAAGAAUCUCCCAUGCAGACUUUACAGUGAACUUGCCAGUACUAGAUUUUAUCCACCAAGGUUUAUCCAUUUGAUUGUCUUACCCUGCUCAUACUUUGUCUCACAUGAUCCACAAUAUGACUAGGUAAAUACUCUUGCAUACUAUUAUAAUCCCAUCCAGAAUCCUUCAAAAAAACCUCAAUAUCAUCCAAAGAAUGACAACCGUGCACUUCUGUCGGAUGUAGAAACAAAGGACCAUGACUAGUCCAAUUGUCAAACCAAAUGCUUGAUGUUCCUCCUUUAGGUUCCCACCACAAGUUUUGUUCUAUUAUUUCUCUAUUUUCCAACAUUUGUUUCCACACUUGUGAGCCACCUUUCCACUGAACAAGGGUGGGAAUUUGCUUCUUACAAUACUUAUUCCACAUGAAAUUUGCCCAUAGUGAAUUUUGAGUUCUAAAUUUCCACCAAAGUGUAGCAUACAUAGCUUUAGAUACAUCAAUCAUAGAUCUAAAACCCAAACCUCAUUCAUUUUUUGGUAAGCACACCUUUUCCCAUGCAGCCCAAUGUUUGCUUCUACCUGUAAGCUUGUUACUCCAAUAAAAUUUUGCAAAAAUUCUAUGAAGCUCUUUCAUCACUCAAUUAGGAGGGGCAAUAGCAGAAAGUACAUGAAUAGGAAUGCUUUGUAACACACUAGACAACAGAACUUCUUUACCCCCAAAAGAAAGCAUGUUUCCUUUCCAAGCCUGAAGUUUAUCUUUCACCCUUCUGAUGAGAUCUGCAUAAUGCUCUUUUCUUUUCCUAGCAUGAGUUAUGGGACAACCUAGGUAUUUUAAAGGGAAGUGACCCCUAGACAUACCUGUACAUUCCUCCACCACUACUCUCAUAUUUGUGGCAGUACUUUGAUGAAGAUAAAAUGCACUUUUCUCUUUAUUAAUUUGUUGUCCAGAUUCACCUUCAUAUUCCUGCAAAGUUUCAACUAUCCUAUUCAAAGAGUAAUUAUCAGUAGACGCAAAAAUGAUGGUAUCAUCUGCAUAAGCCAGGUGGUUAAUUUGUGCACUCCACUUUGGUAAACCAUACCCUACAUAUUGCACAUCAUCAAACAAAGCAUUCAAAGACCUGGAUAAAACCUCCGCUGAUAGAAUAAACAAUGCCGGAGAGAGAGGAUCUCCUUGUUUCACUCCUCUGGUUGAAUGAAAUAAGCCAUGUGAUUGUCCAUUAAUUAGUACAGAGUACCAAUUAUUGGAAAUCAAUCUCCAAAUUAUGUCAACCAAAUCAUUUGAGAAGCCCAUUUUUCUUAAUACUUUCAUUAGAAAAAACCAUGAUACUCUAUCAUAAGCUUUGGCCAUAUCAAGCUUAAUUACCACAUUAUCGGGCUUACCUUUUUUUCUAAUAUUUGUAACAAUCUCUUGAGUCAGCAGAACAUUUUCAAUGAUACUUCUCCCUUUCACAAAACCAGAUUGAUUAUUUGAAAUCAACCUUGGAAGUAAAGACUCAAGUCUAUCAUGAACAAUUCUAGAGAUGACCUUAUUAAUAAAAUUACUCAAACUGAUUGGCCUCAAAUCUGAGAAAGACUGUAUAUUAUCUUUCUUUGGUAACAGAAUUAGGUUGGUAUGAGUAAUGGACUUAGGUAAAGAAUUACCUUGAAGGAAAUCCUGUACCAAUGCUAGAAUAUCAAUGCCAACAAUGUCCCAGCAGCUUUGGUAAAAUCUCCCUGUCAAACCAUCAGGACCACUAGAACUAUCUCCAUUAAGUUUGAAUACAACAUUCUUUACCUCUUCUAAUUCUGGCAUUCUGCAUAAAACUGAGUUUUCCUCCGCAUUGAUCAAAGUGGGAAUAUGCCUUAGUAAAGGAAAAUCAGUCGCAUCCCUCUCUUGUGUGAAUUGCUUUUGAUUAGGUCCUUUGAAGACUUCUUCAACUCGGAUCGAUCAGACCUAUACCACAAACUGAAGUUAAGUGAGCAAAGCUUUCUCCUAUUUCAUCUUUGUGCACUGUUAUACUUCGAUUUAAUUCAUCCAUGAACUUCUCUACAGGUUGAGCCCCAAAGAGGCUGAUACCACUGCAUAAGGAGGCCACAUAUGGAUUCUAUCUCCGCAUAAACAGUAUAUUGUAAUUACAUCCACUUAUGCAAGUAUGCAGGUACUGUCAUCACCUUUUGAUAUUUCUUUGUCAUUCAUGUCGGGUUUUUCUUGUUUGUCUCAAUUAUGUUUGUGUAAUGAAAAACAUGUUUUGGAUGUUUCUAAUUUUAAGAUUGGAAAUUUGUGUUUUAUCUAGGUGUAAUAUUGCUUUUCCUUUUGGUGCUAAAUCUUGGAAAUCUGAAUAGAUGAUAUAUGUUGUGCCUGCAAAAAGAAAAAACCGGUUAGCUAAAUAAUCUGCAAAAGUAUUGUCUUCCCUAAGGGUGUGCUCCACUCUUGCAUCAACAUUAAUUCUCAG